rnacentral:rRNA from 1 species
ACUUGUACUGUGAAACUGCGAAUGGCUCAUUAAAUCAGUUAUCGUUUAUUUGAUAGUACCUUACUACAUGGAUACCUGUGGUAAUUCUAGAGCUAAUACAUGCUAAAAACCCCGACUUCAGGAAGGGGUGUAUUUAUUAGAUAAAAAACCAACGCCCUUCGGGGCUCCUUGGUGAAUCAUAAUAACUUAACGAAUCGCAUGGCCUUGCGCCGGCGAUGGUUCAUUCAAAUUUCUGCCCUAUCAACUUUCGAUGGUAGGAUAGUGGCCUACCAUGGUGGCAACGGGUAACGGGGAAUUAGGGUUCGAUUCCGGAGAGGGAGCCUGAGAAACGGCUACCACAUCCAAGGAAGGCAGCAGGCGCGCAAAUUACCCAAUCCCGAUACGGGGAGGUAGUGACAAUAAAUACUGAUACGGGGCUCUUUUGGGUCUCGUAAUUGGAAUGAGAACAAUUUAAAUCCCUUAACGAGGAACAAUUGGAGGGCAAGUCUGGUGCCAGCAGCCGCGGUAAUUCCAGCUCCAAUAGCGUAUAUUAAAGUUGUUGCAGUUAAAAAGCUCGUAGUUGAACCUUGGGUCUGGCUGGCCGGUCCGCCUCACCGCGAGUACUGGUCCGGCUGGACCUUUCCUUCUGGGGAACCUCAUGGCCUUCACUGGCUGUGGGGGGAACCAGGACUUUUACUGUGAAAAAAUUAGAGUGUUCAAAGCAGGCCUUUGCUCGAAUACAUUAGCAUGGAAUAAUAGAAUAGGACGUGUGGUUCUAUUUUGUUGGUUUCUAGGACCGCCGUAAUGAUUAAUAGGGAUAGUCGGGGGCGUCAGUAUUCAGCUGUCAGAGGUGAAAUUCUUGGAUUUGCUGAAGACUAACUACUGCGAAAGCAUUCGCCAAGGAUGUUUUCAUUAAUCAGGGAACGAAAGUUAGGGGAUCGAAGACGAUCAGAUACCGUCGUAGUCUUAACCAUAAACUAUGCCGACUAGGGAUCGGACGGGAUUCUAUGAUGACCCGUUCGGCACCUUACGAGAAAUCAAAGUUUUGGGU